AAGCCACAUCCAGUACCAGGAUUUAUAGAUUUGGGAGAUUGACUUAUAAUGACAUGUGAUGAUCUGCCAUUAUCCUUGAAAGUAUUUGGAGCGCUUG
rnacentral:pre_miRNA from 1 species